UCGGGGAUCGUCUAAUGGUAGGACAGCAGCCUUUGGAGCUGCUCAUCAAGGUUCGAAUCCUUGUCCCCGAACCA
rnacentral:tRNA from 2 species